GGGAGUGGCAAGGCGCUGGUGUGCCUACCGGUCUUCAAAACCGGAUUGGGGGCCCAAACAGUCCCCGGGUGGGUUCGAUUCCCAUCCUCUCCCGCCA
rnacentral:tRNA from 1 species